rnacentral:rRNA from 1 species
UACGGAGGGUGCAAGCGUUAUCCGGAUUCACUGGGUUUAAAGGGAGCGUAGGUGGGUCUGUAAGUCAGUGGUGAAAUCUCCGUGCUUAACAUGGAAACUGCCAUUGAUACUAUAGGUCUUGAAUUAUCUGGAGGUUAGCGGAAUAUGUCAUGUAGCGGUGAAAUGCUUAGAUAUGACAUAGAACACCAAUUGCGAAGGCAGCUUACUACCCGAAUAUUGACACUGAGGCACGAAAGCGUGGGGAUCAAACAGG